rnacentral:misc_RNA from 1 species
AACUUUUAACAAUGGAUCACUUGGUUCUGGCAUCGAUGAAGAACGCAGCGAAAUGCGAUAAGUAAUGUGAAUUGCAGAAUUCAGUGAAUCAUCGAAUCUUUGAACGCACAUUGCGCCCCGUGGUAUUCCGCGGGGCAUGCCUGUUCGAGCGUCAGUACAACACUCAAGCUCUGCUUGGUAUUGGGCCCUGCCGGCAACGGCAGGCCUUAAAAUCAGUGGCGGCGCCAUCUGGCUCUAAGCGUAGUAAUACUCCUCGCUACAGAGUCCCGGUGGAUGCUUGCCAGCAACCCCCAACUUCUAAGUUUGACCUCGGAUCAGGUAGGGAUACCCGCUGAACUUAAGCAUAUCAAUAAGCGGAGGCU